rnacentral:rRNA from 1 species
GUCUACGGCCAUACCACCCUGAACGCGCCCGAUCCCGUCUGAUCUCGGAAGCUAAGCAGGGUCGGGCCUGGUUAGUACUUGGCUGGGAGACCGCCUGGGAAUACCGGGUGCUGUAGGCU